UGGCCGAGUGGCCUCUUUAAUAAAAGAAGUAGUGCCUCUUCGUUUAAUUUUUUUUAGAACCACAGAGAGCUCUUCUUCAGUUUUCUUCUUUUGGAUUUCCAUUGAAAUAUUACGAUAUACGAAGAUCCAACGGUCCAAUCUUAGAUCCGAUUUUAGCAACACAAUCCUUAAAGGCCGAUCUACGUUUUGAGAUUUUGUGUGGUUUGGUGUUGCUAGGAGCUUCCCGAGCAUUGGGUCUUGGUGUGAUGAAUUUUUGCGGCACUUUACGGUUGAGCUUGGAGUCGUUUAGAUAUUUGGGAGUACAAGCGACUUGAGGAAAGACGUGUUAGCAUGAUUGAGUUUAACUCUAGUGCUCUCAUGAUCUACUGACGUUCAAGGAACGAAGCUGAAAUAUGAUUAGAGAUGGUGUUGCGAGUAUUUUGUUGACGGAUGUUAUCCUAGUAUGGAAGAGUAAGAUGUCAUGUUCCUUGCUUAAGACUUAUGUGUAUACUUGAUAUCUGUGAUGGAGUGAUCGUGUGCACAUAUGUCUGAGCGACCAAUGAAAAGUAUUAUUAUAGAAGGGUUUGUAUGUGGAAACUUUCAAGGAGGGAUGACUGGAACUUCUACAUAUUUUCUCAGCUAUUUAGUAUGUUUUAAAUGAUUUCUGAAUAGUCGGUGUUCACUGCAUUAGCUAUUGGUAAUUUGUGGCUAAUAUAGUGCUCGCAAUACUAAAAGUAAAAUAAAUGUUGGUUCUUUGUGAAAACUCAACUUGAGGCGGAUGAUGAUCCGGUAGCUCACUACUUGGGAUACUACGAUUGAAGCCCGUAGCGACAAUCGUAGUGGGAUAGGACUGAGGUGUCCUCAUUUUGGGUACUUUUGUAUAUGGCUUGUGACGUGUGUGUCACACAUUAUUUUGUAUAAGCCAUUCUUUUGUAAUAGUAAUAUGUAGUUAAACUUUAAACAGAUAAAUUUGUGUUAUGGCUCACUUAUGUAUAGAUAACAGGUUCAUUUAUAGUUAUGCUUUUCCGCUA